rnacentral:rRNA from 1 species
GACGAACGCUGGCGGCGUGCUUAGCACAUGCAAGUCGAACGGAAAGGCCCUGCUUUUGUGGGGUGCUCGAGUGGCGAACGGGUGAGUAACACGUGAGUAACCUGCCCUUGACUUUGGGAUAACUUCAGGAAACUGGGGCUAAUACCGGAUAGGAGCUCCUGCUGCAUGGUGGGGGUUGGAGAGUUUCGGCGGUUGGGGAUGGACUCGCGGCUUAUCAGCUUGUUGGUGGGGUAGUGGCUUACCAAGGCUUUGACGGGUAGCCGGCCUGAGAGGGUGACCGGCCACAUUGGGACUGAGAUACGGCCCAGACUCCUACGGGAGGCAGCAGUGGGGAAUAUUGCACAAUGGGCGGAAGCCUGAUGCAGCAACGCCGCGUGCGGGAUGACGGCCUUCGGGUUGUAAACCGCUUUCGCCUGUGACGAAGCGUGAGUGACGGUAAUGGGUAAAGAAGCACCGGCUAACUACGUGCCAGCAGCCGCGGUGAUACGUAGGGUGCGAGCGUUGUCCGGAUUUAUUGGGCGUAAAGGGCUCGUAGGUGGUUGAUCGCGUCGGAAGUGUAAUCUUGGGGCUUAACCCUGAGCGUGCUUUCGAUACGGGUUGACUUGAGGAAGGUAGGGGAGAAUGGAGUUCCUGGUGGAGCGGUGGAAUGCGCAGAUAUCAGGAGGAACACCAGUGGCGAAGGCGGUUCUCUGGGCCUUUCCUGACGCUGAGGAGCGAAAGCGUGGGGAGCGAACAGGCUUAGAUACCCUGGUAGUCCACGCUGUAAACGGUGGGUACUAGGUGUGGGGUCCAUUCCACGGGUUCCGUGCCGUAGCUAACGCUUUAAGUACCCCGCCUGGGGAGUACGGCCGCAAGGCUAAAACUCAAAGGAAUUGACGGGGCCCCGCACAAGCGGCGGAGCAUGCGGAUUAAUUCGAUGCAACGCGUAGAACCUUACCUGGGUUUGACAUGGAUCGGGAGUGCUCAGAGAUGGGCGUGCCUCUUUUGGGGUCGGUUCACAGGUGGUGCAUGGCUGUCGUCAGCUCGUGUCGUGAGAUGUUGGGUUAAGUCCCGCAACGAGCGCAACCCUUGUUCACUGUUGCCAGCACGUUAUGGUGGGGACUCAGUGGAGACCGCCGGGGUCAACUCGGAGGAAGGUGGGGAUGACGUCAAGUCAUCAUGCCCCUUAUGUCCAGGGCUUCACGCAUGCUACAAUGGCUGGUACAGAGAGUGGCGAGCCUGUGAGGGUGAGCGAAUCUCGGAAAGCCGGUCUCAGUUCGGAUUGGGGUCUGCAACUCGACCUCAUGAAGUCGGAGUCGCUAGUAAUCGCAGAUCAGCAACGCUGCGGUGAAUACGUUCCCGGG